UGGGGAAUUUUGGACAAUGGGCGCAAGCCUGAUCCAGCCAUGCCGCGUGCAGGAUGAAGGCCUUCGGGUUGUAAACUGCUUUUGUACGGAACGAAAAGGUGCCUUCUAAUAAAGGGCGCUCAUGACGGUACCGUAAGAAUAAGCACCGGCUAACUACGUGCCAGCAGCCGCGGUAAUACGUAGGGUGCGAGCGUUAAUCGGAAUUACUGGGCGUAAAGCGUGCGCAGGCGGUUUUGUAAGACAGAGGUGAGAUCCCCGGGCUCAACCUGGGAACUGCCUUUGUGACUGCAAAGCUGGAGUGCGGCAGAGNGGGAUGGAAUUCCGCGUGUAGCAGUGAAAUGCGUAGAUAUGCGGAGGAACACCGAUGGCGAAGGCAAUCCCCUGGGCCUGCACUGACGCUCAUGCACGAAAGCGUGGGGAGCAAACA
rnacentral:rRNA from 1 species